ensembl:lncRNA
GUCUCCUGGGUCCCAUGGUGUUGGGUGGAGUGGGGGAGGGGGCUUUAUUAGGGUCUGACCCCUCUCUCUGUUUUGGGGUAAAAAACUGCGCUUUUCACCCCCGAAUGUUUUGGCUCUGAAGCCUUUUCUGCAGUGACCAUAUUGAAGUCCCUCAUUCGUUUUGUCUUGUUGUGUUUUUAGGGUCAAACUCCCAUUUUUGGCUCAUUUUAAAUGGCUGAAAUCCUCAUUUUUGAGGCUGGAAUCUCCCUUUUAAGAUCUGAAUCACGCUUCUGUGUCCAGAUCCUCAAUUUUAGGGCCCCAAACCCCAUUUUUUGUGUUCAAAAUCUUCAUCCUUAGCAUCUGAACCCUCUAUUUAUAGGCCCCAAAGCCUCAUUUUAGGGCGAAAAUCCUCAUUUUGGGGUCAAAAUCCUCAUUUUUCGGAUCCAAAGACUCAUGUUCAUGGUCUGUACCCCCGUUUUUUUAGAACCCUAUGCUUCAUUUCAUGCUUCAAAGUCUUGUGGGUUUUUUUUUUUUUUUUGCUUGUUUGUUUGCUUUUGUUUUGUGCAAACAAACAUUUUUGGGUCCAAAAUCUAAAUUUCAGAAGACCCAAUGCCUCACCAUAGAGUCAGAAUCCUCAGUUUCAGGUCCGCCCCUCGAUUUUAUGGGCCUUUUUUGGGGUCAGUUUCAUGUGGACAGUUCUAGGUAACCCAACCAGGACCUAUUUGAGACAGUAGAUUCAGGAUUUGGCUCUAGAUACCCCAACCAGGACCCAUUUGAGAUAACAGAUUUGGGGGUUUGGCUCUAGGUAACUACAUCAGAAUCCAUCUGAGACAGCAGAUUCGGCAGCCUGGUUCUAGGUAACCCAACCAGGAACCAUUUGAGAUGGCAGAUGUGGGGGUUCGGUUCCAGGUAACCCAACCAGGAACCAUUUGAGACAUCAGAUGUGGGGGUUUG